rnacentral:rRNA from 1 species
AUACGUAGGUGGCAAGCGUUGUCCGGAAUUACUGGGUGUAAAGGGCGUGUAGGCGGGGGAGCAAGUCAGAUGUGAAAUUCCGGGGCUCAACCCCGGCGCUGCAUCUGAAACUGUUUCUCUUGAGUGCUGGAGAGGAAAGCGGAAUUCCUAGUGUAGCGGUGAAAUGCGUAGAUAUUAGGAGGAACACCAGUGGCGAAGGCGGCUUUCUGGACAGUAACUGACGCUGAGGCGCGAAAGCGUGGGGAGCGAACAGGAUUAGAUACCCUGGUAGUCCACGCCGUAAACGAUGGAUACUAGGUGUAGGAGGUAUCGACCCCUUCUGUGCCGGAGUUAACACAAUAAGUAUCCCACCUGGGGAGUACGGCCGCAAGGUUGAA